rnacentral:rRNA from 1 species
UCGAAUCCUGCACAGCAGAAUGACCCGUAACUAGUGAU